AUAUUGGACAAUGGGGGCAACCCUGAUCCAGCCAUGCCGCGUGAGUGAAGAAGGCCUUAGGGUUGUAAAGCUCUUUCGCCGGGGAAGAUAAUGACGGUACCCGGAGAAGAAGCCUCGGCUAACUCCGUGCCAGCAGCCGCGGUAAGACGGAGGAGGCUAGCGUUGUUCGGAAUUACUGGGCGUAAAGCGUACGCAGGUGGCUGUGCAAGUCGGAUGUGAAAGCCCGGGGCUCAACCCCGGAUGUGCAUCCGAUACUGUGCGGCUGGAGUCCGGGAGAGGAGAGCGGAAUUCCCAGUGUAGAGGUGAAAUUCGUAGAUAUUGGGAAGAACACCGGUGGCGAAGGCGGCUCUCUGGUCCGGUACUGACACUCAAGUACGAAAGCGUGGGGAGCAAACAGG
rnacentral:rRNA from 1 species